AGUGGAAAGUGGAAACCCUGAAACUUUGACGUCUCAGCCAUGAUUAUACACAAAAAGACUUCGUUCCAGUUUUUUCAGUUUCCCUGUAGGUAAUCCAGACAGGCUGGGUGCUGGAGAGGGCUCUGGACUCCUAACUUCAAUUCUCGUCUGUGCAGUCGACACUCAGAAGCAUCACUUCAGCACUGAUU